ensembl:misc_RNA Metazoa_SRP Metazoan signal recognition particle RNA
GCCAGGCGUGGUGGCUCACGCCUGUAAUCCCAGCAUUUUGGGAGGCCGAGGCUGGUGGAUCACCUGAGGUCGGGAGUUCAAGACCAGCCUGACCAACAUGGAGAAACCCAGUCUCUA